rnacentral:rRNA from 1 species
GACGAACGCUGGCGGCGUGCUUAACACAUGCAAGUCGAACGGAAAGGCCCUGCUUUUGUGGGGUGCUCGAGUGGCGAACGGGUGAGUAACACGUGAGUAGCCUGCCCUUGACUUUGGGAUAACUUCAGGAAACUGGGGCUAAUACCGGAUAGGAGCUCCUGCUGCAUGGUGGGGGUUGGAAAGUUUCGGCGGUUGGGGAUGGACUCGCGGCUUAUCAGCUUGUUGGUGGGGUAGUGGCUUACCAAGGCUUUGACGGGUAGCCGGCCUGAGAGGGUGACCGGCCACAUUGGGACUGAGAUACGGCCCAGACUCCUACGGGAGGCAGCAGUGGGGAAUAUGGCACAAUGGGCGGAAGCCUGAUGCAGCAACGCCGCGUGCGGGAUGACGGCCUUCGGGUUGUAAACCGCUUUCGCCUGUGACGAAGCGUGAGUGACGGUAAUGGGUAAAGAAGCACCGGCUAACUACGUG